UACCAGCACCCCGAGUGGUCGGGACGAUUAUUGGGCCUAAAGCAUCCGUAGCCGGUUUUACAAGUCCUCCGUUAAAUCCAGCUGCUUAACAGAUGGGCUGCGGAGGAUACUAUAAGACUAGGAGGCAGGAGAGGCAAGCGGUACUCAGUGGGUAGGGGUAAAAUCCGUUGAUCCAUUGAAGACCACCAGUGGCGAAGGCGGCUUGCCAGAAUGCGCUAGACGGUGAGGGAUGAAAGCUGGGGGAGCAAACCGG
rnacentral:rRNA from 1 species